rnacentral:rRNA from 1 species
AUACGGAGGGUGCAAGCGUUAUGCGGAAUCACUGGGCGUAAAGGACGCGUAGGCGGGUUGGCAAGUCAGAUGUGAAAUCCUACAGCUUAACUGUAGAACUGCAUUUGAAACUGCUAACCUAGAGUAUGGGAGGGGGAGAUGGAAUUAGUGGUGUAGGGGUAAAAUCCGUAGAUAUCACUAGGAAUACCGAAAGCGAAGGCGAUCUCCUGGAACAUAACUGACGCUAAGGCGUGAAAGCGUGGGGAGCAAACAGGAUUAGAAACCCCAGUAGUCC